UUCUAGGUUAAUUCUUUUUGAUCUAACCUUUUCUCUAGUUCCUGGUCCCCUUUUCCUAUUGGCCUCAGUUGCUUUUAAGGUAUGUGCUUUACCCAUUCUCCUUGAACAUAUGUGGUGAACACAUAUAAGACUAUUCUUGUAUUGAUGGAUUGUAUUGUGUUAAAGUAUGAAAAACUGUUGAAUUAAGAAGUAUUAGCUAGUGUGUGUUAGGACUUAGAAGGAAGCCAGAAUGUGACAGGUUGAUAUGUUAAUAAGCCAACCCUAAGGUGGCAGCUGAUAUACUAAUAAGCCAACCUUAAGGUGACAGUGUGGAUAACAGAAGUGGUGAGGUCACCACAGGGUAUAUAAACUCAGGCCAGAACCCAAAGCAUUGCUCGCCUCCUUGCCUAUCGGAGGCCACGCUGUCAGGAGUGCCCCUGAGACCCUGACAAAGAGGCAGCCGCCGCCUGUGAGCGUGCCCCUUCGACGAUCAUUGGGUGCCGCAGGUGAACCAUGAACUGGACCUGCAGUGAAGGCAGCUGUGAGGAUCCCCUGGCGCGCAGCUAUGCUGAGAAGCCGUCGCAGCACAAGAAAGGGAGAUCCGGAAACAAAUCUUGGCCUGGGAACUGAUUGAGGCACUGGAGGCACGUGAGCAAAGGAACAAGGAAGGGUGCAGAGAGCAGAAACCUUGACCAAUCACCUGUACAAAGCCAACCCAGCCCUGGUUGGGGAAGAGCCAGUUUUUUUGCAUUUUCUUCUGAGCGGUAUCUUUUAGGAAGCUGAACCCUGAAGAACUUCAAGGCACCUUCAAAGUCCGUCAAUAGAAGGUCAUCCCUGGAAGUCUUGAAGAAAUUAAGAAAGUACUACUACAUAUAGAAAACAGGUUGGCUAUGAAGAUGCAUAAGAAGUAUUUUAUAAUCCCAGCACUUUUAAAAACUCCCAGAAGACACUUCGCAGUCUUUGCAGAGUCUCCUGCAUGUAUUCCCUGUUAGGGAAAACAUUAGAGCACUGUGAAAGCUUAGAAUGAAACUAAAACUAACUUAGCUCAUGAAGGGACAUGUACCUUUAGUAAUCCAAGGGCGACAUUAAAAAUACCACUUAUUCCCUGAAAGAGAAAACACAAAAAGAACAUUUUCAGUGUUUAUAUCUGGACCCUACUGUUAUUUGCCUUCAGAAUGCCGCACAUUUUAGACAAAUUUGUGAAACCUUAAGUGAGAAAACAGAUUGUGUUGGAACUAUCUUGGAAAAUAAAAGUUUUAAGUCCAUCACUGAAAGGUCACUUCAAGUAGAUUCAGUCUCAGGUUUCAUGGAGAGAAAAGCUUUUUCAAUUCUCACUCAACAAGAAAGAAUACUUUUCCAAAGUAAUCAUGAUUCUAGACCAAACUAUGAGAGUUAUAAAAUUGUGACCUAUCUGGAAGUAACUCCUGGUGGACUUAUCCUGUGUUGUGUGCUAUUCAAAGAAUGGAAUCCCAUGAGCUGUAUAUCCCAAAACUGAGCUUGGUUAGGGCUCUCUCCAAUCUGUUUUCCUUCAGCUAACCAAUCUGGGUAAAGAACAAAUAAGGGGAGGUAUUAAUAUCUGUCAAACUAAACUGUGUUAAGUUUCUUGGUCUCAGUUUCCAUAACAAAUAUCCUCCUAAGAGUUUCUGACAUAAUUAAUUAUAAAGUUUACAUAAAUCCUUUAGCAUGCCCCCUGGAUCUUAGUAACUACUUAACAGAUGGUUGCUUAUAAUAGUGAGAAAAGACAUUGCUUACAGGUUAUAUAAACUAUGGUACAUCCAAAUAAUGGAGUACUUGGCAGCAAGUAAAAAUAAUGGUAUACUGAUAAUGUUUAUUUUCUAUAAUGUAUCUUAAAAUAGAUGGUAGAUAUAAGAACUCCCUAUGGUUUUAUGGUAUACUUUCAACAUGACAUAGUCUGACAAAAAGGAUAGUAUAGAUGUGUGUAUACAGAUAUUCAGGUAUAUGAGAUGAAAAGGAUAACAAAUAGUAUAUAUAGCAUAUAUUUUUCAGUAUGU